rnacentral:rRNA from 1 species
CUACGGGUGGCUGCAGUGGGGAAUAUUGGACAAUGGGGGGAACCCUGAUCCAGCCAUGCCGCGUGUGUGAAGAAGGCCCUCGGGUUGUAAAGCACUUUCAGUGAGGAAGAACGCCUGGUGGUUAAUACCCAUCAGGAAAGACAUCACUCACAGAAGAAGCACCGGCUAACUCCGUGCCAGCAGCCGCGGUAAUACGGAGGGUGCGAGCGUUAAUCGGAAUUACUGGGCGUAAAGCGCGCGUAGGUGGCUUGAUAAGCCGGUUGUGAAAGCCCCGGGCUCAACCUGGGAACGGCAUCCGGAACUGUCAAGCUAGAGUGCAGGAGAGGAAGGUAGAAUUCCCGGUGUAGCGGUGAAAUGCGUAGAGAUCGGGAGGAAUACCAGUGGCGAAGGCGGCCUUCUGGACUGACACUGACACUGAGGUGCGAAAGCGUGGGUAGCAAACAGGAUUAGAUACCCGUGUAGUC